rnacentral:rRNA from 1 species
CCUACGGGAGGCAGCAGUGAGGAAUAUUGGUCAAUGGCCGGAAGGCUGAACCAGCCAAGCCGCGUGUGUGAGGAAGGCGCAGAGCGUCGCAGACCUCUUUUGCCGGGGGACAAAAGGCCGGACUCGUCCCGUCCUGAGGGUACCCGGAGAAAAAGCAUCGGCUAACUCCGUGCCAGCAGCCGCGGUAAUACGGAGGAUCCAAGCGUUAUCCGGAUUUGUUUGGUUUAAAGUGUACGUAGGCGGAUUGAUAAGUUAGAGGUGAAAUGUCCGAGCUUAACUCGGGAACUGCCUCUAAUACUGUUGAUCUAGAGAGUAGAUGAGGUAGGUGGAAUGUAUGGUGUAGCGGUGAAAUGCGUAGAGAUCAUACAGAACACCGAUUGCGAAGGCAGCUUACCAAUCUAUAUCUGACGUUGAGGCACGAAAGCGUGGGGAGCAAACAGGAUUAGAUACCCCUGUAGUC